CAGCUCGUUCAGAGCUUGCUCACAGGGUCAAUGACUUUUGACUGGGUUUUUUCCAGUCCCCACUGGUCAUCCUUGUCCAUCUAUUAUUAAGCCUGCUUUGGCAUGGCUGGCAGGAGCUUAUUCCAAAUCCUGAUGGAAGAAAGGUGCAGUAGUUGUGGAGCAUGGCGGAGCAGGUGUCAGCAGGUCUGCAGAGCUGAAGGGUGCAGUCCAUCUUCACUGACGUGUGAUGUGGACUUGUCUCAGCACAGCUCCUGGCAGUGCAGUGGAGUCCACAGCCCACAGAGAAGGCUGCCAGUCUGUCCUCGCAAGAGGAAGACUGAAGCCUUAGAACACUCCUGGAGAAUAUCUACAAAUCCAUGUGAAUAGCCUAAAACAUCAUAUUUCGUGUGGUUUCCAUGGAUGCCGACCAUGCUGCAGUUAGGGCAGUUCUGGUGUGUUGCUCCAAAUGGCACAGCAAUUUUACCAGGAUGCAGUAUUCUUGCCUGCUGGCCCUAGGCUCUGGUGGUGCUGUCUGCUGUUAAAUAGCUGUCUUGUGCCUGUGUGAAAGAAGGGACUCCUGCAUGUGCAGCUUGAGG